CUCAACCAUGGAAGUGCCUUCGAAACUGUUGCUCUUGAGUCCCGGAGAGGUUGUCGGAAUUCGUGGUGUAGCGGUGAAAUGCGUAGAUAUCACGAGGAACACCAGAGGCGAAAGCGGACAACUGGACGGGUACUGACGCUCGGGCACGAAAGCGUGGGGAGCAAACAGGAUUAGAUACCCUGGUAGUCCACGCCGUAAACGAUGGAUGCUCGCCGUUGCCUCGUUAAGGGGCAGUGGCUAAGCUAACGCGUUAAGCAUUCCGCCUGGGGAGUACGAUCGCAAGGUUGAAACUCAAAGGAAUUGACGGGGGCCCGCACAAGCGGUGGAGCAUGUGGCUCAACUCGAUGCAACGCGAAGAACCUUACCUAGGCUCGAACGCUAGGCGACCGCUCCUGAAAGGGAGUUUUCCGCAAGGACGC
rnacentral:rRNA from 1 species